UACGAAGGGGGCUAGCGUUGCUCGGAAUUACUGGGCGUAAAGGGCGCGUAGGCGGGUGUCUAAGUCAGAGGUUAAAUCCCAGAGCUCAACUCUGGAACUGCCUUUGAGACUGGACGCCUAGAGUUUGGGAGAGGUGAGUGGAAUGCCGAGCGUAGAGGUGAAAUUCGUAGAUAUUCGGCGGAACACCGAGUGGCGAAGGCGACUCACUGGCCCAAUACUGACGCUGGAGGCGCGG
rnacentral:rRNA from 1 species